GCGGACUGCGGGUAUGCGGG
rnacentral:siRNA from 1 species